AUUGACCUCAGAUCAGGCAAGAUUACCCGCCGAAUUUAAGCAUAUUACUAAGCGGAGGAAAAGAAACUAACAAGGAUUCCCCUAGUAACGGCGAGCGAACCGGGAAGAGCCCAACUUGAAAAUCUGGCAGCUUCGCUGUCCGAAUUGUAGUCUAAAGAAGCGUCCUCUGUAGCGGAACGGGCCCAAGUUCCCUGGAAUGGGACGUCAGAGAGGUGAGAGCCCCGUCGACCCGGACCUGCUACUCCACGAAGCGCUGUCGCCGAGUCNGGUUGUUUGGGAAUGCACCCUAAAUGGGUGGUAAAUUCNAUCUAAGGCUAAAUACUGGCGAGAGACGAUAGCGAACAAUNCNNAGG
rnacentral:rRNA from 1 species